UGCCGCGUGUGUGAAGAAGGCCUUUUGGUUGUAAAGCACUUUAAGCAGUGAAGAAGACUCCGUGGUUAAUACCCACGGACGAUGACAUUAGCUGCAGAAUAAGCACCGGCUAACUCUGUGCCAGCAGCCGCGGUAAUACAGAGGGUGCAAGCGUUAAUCGGAAUUACUGGGCGUAAAGGGAGCGUAGGUGGCUCGAUAAGUCAGAUGUGAAAUCCCCGGGCUCAACCUGGGAACUGCAUCUGAUACUGYUGAGCUAGAGUAUGUGAGAGGAAGGUAGAAUUCCAGGUGUAGCGGUGAAAUGCGUAGAGAUCUGGAGGAAUACCGAUGGCGAAGGCAGCCUUCUGGCAUAAUACUGACACUSUSGYUCGMAAGCGCGGGUAGCAAACAGGAUUAGAUACCCUGGUAGUCCACGCCGUAAACGAUGUCUACUAGUCGUUGGGUCCCUUGAGGACUUAGUGACGCAGCUAACGCAAUAWGUAGACCGCCUGGGGAGUACGGCCGCAAGGUUAAAACUCAAAUGAAUUGACGGGGGCCCGCACAAGCGGYGGAGCAUGUGGUUUAAUUCGAUGCAACGCGAAGAACCUUACCUGGUCUUGACAUAUCUAGAAUCCUGCMGAGAUGCGGGAGUGCCUUUUGGGAAUUAGAAUACAGGUGCUGCAUGGCUGUCGUCAGCUCGUGUCCGUGAGAUGUUGGGGUAAGUCCCCGCAACGAGCGCAACCCUUKUUCUUAWUUUCCAGCGGCUUAAAGCCGGGAACUCUUAGGAUACUG
rnacentral:rRNA from 1 species